AUUGAACGCUGGCGGCAUGCCUUACACAUGCAAGUCGAACGGUAACAGGUCUUCGGAUGCUGACGAGUGGCGAACGGGUGAGUAAUACAUCGGAACGUGCCUAGUAGUGGGGGAUAACUACUCGAAAGAGUGGCUAAUACCGCAUGAGAUCUACGGAUGAAAGCAGGGGAUCGCAAGACCUUGUGCUACUAGAGCGGCCGAUGGCAGAUUAGGUAGUUGGUGGGAUAAAAGCUUACCAAGCCGACGAUCUGUAGCUGGUCUGAGAGGACGAUCAGCCACACAGAGACUGAGACACGGCCCAGACUCCUACGGGGGGCAGCAGUGGGGAAUUUUGGACAAUGGGCGCAAGCCUGAUCCAGAAAUGCCGCGUGCAGGAUGAAGGCCUUCGGGUUGUAAACUGCCUUUGUACGGAACGAAAAGCCCCGGGUUAAUACCCUGGGGUCAUGACGGUACCGUAAGAAUAAGCACCGGCUAACUACGUGCCAGCCGCCGCCGUAA
rnacentral:rRNA from 1 species